rnacentral:rRNA from 1 species
UACGGAGGAUGCAAGCGUUAUCCGGAUUCAUUGGGUUUAAAGGGUGCGUAGGCGGACUAUUAAGUCAGUGGUGAAAGCCUGCAGCUUAACUGCAGAACUGCCGUUGAUACUGAUAGUCUUGAGUUUGGUUAAGGUAGGCGGAAUGUGUAAUGUAGCGGUGAAAUGCUUAGAUAUUACACAGAACACCAAUUGCGUAGGCAGCUUACUGAGCCGACACUGACGCUGAGGCACGAAAGCGUGGGGAUCGAACAGGA